rnacentral:rRNA from 1 species
CUACGGAGGGUGCAAGCGUUACUCGGAAUCACUGGGCGUAAAGGACGCGUAGGCGGGUUGGUAAGUCAGGUGUGAAAUCCUACAGCUUAACUGUAGAACUGCACUUGAAACUACCAACCUAGAGUAUGGGAGGGGGAGAUGGAAUUAGUGGUGUAGGGGUAAAAUCCGUAGAUAUCACUAGGAAUACCGAAAGCGAAGGCGAUCUCCUGGAACAUAACUGACGCUAAGGCGUGAAAGCGUGGGGAGCAAACAGGAUUAGAUACCCCAGUAGUCC